GCAAAAGCUCCGCGUUAACAAUUCCAGUCCGGCGACUGUUCUGGUUUGAUCUCGGUUCGUUUCGAAAGCUUCUGAUCGACAGCAGAAAGCCCCAUUUACACUAUUCUGCAACCCAACAGAACCCGCGCGGAGUUUUGGAAAUUUAAAAAAAAGUGUAAUGUAUCUACCCGUGGGUCUGGAAGAAAGGGAGCACUUGUUUUGUUUCCCAGGGUGACACUCAGGGCUCCCACCCCAACCGGGGCUUGUCGCUCCCGGAAUAAUCAAAUAUUAGAGAGUGACUUGAGCAAAUAGCACCAGUAAUAAAGAAAAAAAGAUUCACUGGUGUUCAAUAUGCUCCCGAGAGGCAGGGAGAAGAGAGGGCACAUUCUCUACCCUUGAAGCCAGCGCCAAAUCAUCAACACUUUUCCUUCCGAUUUGAAAAGCCCGCCAUUUCACAAAUAACGGAGUAUGUUUUACAUAGAAAAAUGAUGUAUAAAGAAGGAGAAUGUUGUUCAGAGGGGAAUUCAUCAAUACUUGUUCAUUAGGUUAUAAAUAUAUACUUUAGACAAUCUCUCUCGCUCAUCCAUUUGCCUAACUGCAUCUAUCUCUUUUCUGGACCUAUACAACUGGCAGAAACAAAAGCAAGCGCCAAGAACUGCAAUCUGCAAUUAAUCUCUUCAUUUCACAUAUCGAAAACACUCCGAUAUGUUGAUUAAACAUUACAGAACGUUCUUCCGGCUGAGCUCAUUAAUCGUCUUUAGACAAUAUUUUAAUGUCGCCCAGCCUUUUUGCACUAGUUCUGACAUCAGCAAAAGCUCCACAUUUGCCAUCCCAGUCCUGCAGCUGCUCUGGUUUGAUCUCGGUUCAUUUUGAUAAUCUCUCACCGACAGCAGAAAGCCUCAUUUACUGUCAUCUGGAAUCGGAGAAAACAGCGCCAGAGACCCAGGUUCGAGUCUACUUGGCAUAGAACUAAAGGACCGCCAAUCGAAAGAUGUAUCUGCUCCUAGUACUCAAAGACACGUUUCUUUUUGGUUUAACUGGGGAGAUAUUCACCGUUCAUAUCCCACCGUGAAUGGUGGCUCCGGAACUGACAUUUGAAGUGCUCAUCCAAAUACUUUUUAAAGUUAAUGUAUUGGGAGCUGGACUUUGAACUGUGCAAUCAUUCCAUUUGUGGAGAUGUCCAUAUGUUGGCAAAUGACUGAUGGACCAAGACAAUGUAAUAUUCCCUCAGUACAAAGCCAAGUGUGACCAGCUGCUUCUACCAACCAGCAGGGUAUUGGAAGAAGAUGAUUUGCAAUGAGGAGACUUAAAACCA